AUAUCAAUAUUUUUUUUUUGUAAACCUCUCACUUUGUGAAAAGAUUCCCCCCCCCCUUUUUUUUAAAAGUCUUACUGUAAAAGACACCUCAAAUCCUCACAACAUCUUGAGAAGGGUUCAGGCACAAAUCAGCCGUCAAGACAGCGCUAGGCAAUGUGCAUUGUACCAUGCCUGGAUCUAUUGAGCCGCUCUUCCGCUCAUCCACCUCCCCAGCAACCCUCAGCCCCUACAGUAUUUUGCCACGAGAG